AUGUGUGUGCCAAAAAACAGGGGAGUAAUGGGUUUUCGGGACACCCAUAGUUUCAACUUAGCUAUGCUCAGAAAGCAAUGUUGGAGACUGAUUGAAAAUUAUGAUUCUCUCUAUGCCAGGGUAUUGAUAUCAAGAUACUAUCCCUCAGGUGAUAUACUAAAUUGUGAAUUGAAGAAGGGCUCAUCCUAUGUCUGGCAGAGUAUAUGGGCGGGAAUUCAAAUGUUCAAGAAGGGAAGUAUAUGGAGAGUUGGAGAUGGAGCAAAAAUAAACAUCAAGGAAAGUAGUGACAGUACGUGGUAA
rnacentral:rRNA from 1 species